UUAAUUAGAUAACUGCAUAAUAAACUGUAGCAGUUACCAUAAUUCCAUCAGAGAAUUAAUGUGGUGAAAGUUGGAAAUUCUUUGGACCCUGGAGAUGAUUUCUUCAAUCUACAGUAGUGGCAAAUGGAGAAAUCGUAAGGGAGAUAUCUGCAGUGCUACUUCCUGUACUCUAUUUCUCAAGCCUUAUAUAGGGAGUUGAAUUGCAGUGGAGCCAUACUGACACCUGGAGGUUAUCAGCAUUACUGGGCAGAGAUGCGUGAGUACGGAAUAUCAGCACGUCACAAGAGCUUUUAAGAAGUGUAGUCAGUAAUCAGAAGAGCAACGGAAAAAGACCUGAAACAUCCAUUUUUAUGUGGUCAACAUGGUUCAAUUUCCAGCUAGGACAUAAUUUACACAAUAACCUGAAGUUGAAAUUAAUACUAAGAAACAAACUGUACUGUGCGUAAGAAAAAUCCAUUAAGCUGUCUGCAUUAAGAGGAAGAAGCUGACCAAUGGAGUUGAAGCACAUGUGUUAUACCGUAAGAAGAAAGGUUCAG